GCCGAGGCUGCAAACCGAAGAACGGAAAAAUGAUAUAGCAUUAUGAGGCUAUCUAAUUGGCUCGUACAUAGGCAGCCAGAGGAUGUGGAUCAUGGAAUUGGCAUGAUUGAAGUCGAGCUGAGCAAGGCGCAGCCGGCCACAAAGGAGAGGAGUUCCUGGAGGAUAUGAAGUUGGGGGCCGCUUGGCUUCACGCUUCCGAGACUCAAUCCAGUUUCUUCGUUGCCAGUUGCGGAGCAGUCAAGCUCAGGGUACAUACUGUAAUUGAUUUUGAUUUGCAUAAGGAGCAGGAGCAGCGGGCCCUAAGGUACAUACUCUCUUGUUACUCAGAUAUGUAUACAUAAUCCUAUGCCCUUUG